rnacentral:rRNA from 1 species
AUUGAACGCUGGCGGAAUGCUUUACACAUGCAAGUCGAACGGUAGAGGGGGCAACCCCUCGAGAGUGGCGAACGGGUGAGUAAUAUAUCGGAACGUGCCCAGUCGUGGGGGAUAACGUAGCGAAAGUUACGCUAAUACCGCAUACGAUCUAAGGAUGAAAGCGGGGGAUCGCAAGACCUCGCGCGAUUGGAGCGGCCGAUAUCAGAUUAGGUAGUUGGUGGGGUAAAGGCUCACCAAGCCAACGAUCUGUAGCUGGUUUGAGAGGACGACCAGCCACACUGGAACUGAGACACGGUCCAGACUCCUGCGGGAGGCAGCAGUGGGGAAUUUUGGACAAUGGACGCAAGUCUGAUCCAGCCAUUCCGCGUGCAGGAUGAAGGCCCUCGGGUUGUAAACUGCUUUUGUACGGAACGAAAAGGUCUCUCUUAAUACGGGGGACUCAUGACGGUACCGUAAGAAUAAGCACCGGCUAACUACGUGCCAGCCGCCGCGGUAAGAC